AACCCAUUGUGAGGGAACCUUGUCAACAGAUCCUUGUAUCUCUCCCAUGCAUCGUAGAUGUUUCUAAAUCCAUCUGCACAAAAGAGGAGAUAUCAUUAUGUAAUU
rfam:Gossypium arboreum cultivar AKA8401 contig_118746_1, whole genome shotgun sequence.